rnacentral:rRNA from 1 species
GACGAACGCUGGCGGCGUGCCUAAUACAUGCAAGUUGAGCGAUGAAGAUUGGUGCUUGCCCCAAUUUGAAGAGCAGCGAACGGGUGAGUAACGCGUGGGGAAUCUGCCUUUGAGCGGGGGACAACAUUUGGAAACGAAUGCUAAUACCGCAUAACAACUUUAAACAUAAGUUUUAAGUUUGAAAGAUGCAAUUGCAUCACUCAAAGAUGAUCCCGCGUUGUAUUAGCUAGUUGGUGAGGUAAAGGCUCACCAAGGCGAUGAUACAUAGCCGACCUGAGAGGGUGAUCGGCCACAUUGGGACUGAGACACGGCCCAAACUCCUACGGGAGGCAGCGGUAGGGAAUCUUCGGCAAUGGACGAAAGUCUGACCGAGCAACGCCGCGUGAGUGAAGAAGGGUUUCGGAUCGUAAAACUCUGUUGGUAGAGAAGAACGUUGGUGAGAGUGGAAAGCUCAUCAAGUGACGGUAACUACCCAGAAAGGGACGGCUAACUACGUG